rnacentral:rRNA from 1 species
UACAGAGGGGGCAAGCGUUGUUCGGAAUUACUGGGCGUAAAGGGCGCGUAGGCGGCCUGUUAAGUCGAACGUGAAAUCCCCGGGCUCAACCCGGGAACUGCGUCCGAUACUGGCAGGCUUGAAUUCGGGAGAGGGAUGCGGAAUUCCAGGUGUAGCGGUGAAAUGCGUAGAUAUUCGGAAGAACACCAGUGGCGAAGGCGACUCACUGGCCCGAUACUGACGCUGAGGCGCGAAAGCGUGGGGAGCAAACAGG